UCCUCAAAAACCUUAUCUCAUUCUUAUCCUCAUAUAACCAUUCAAUCAUCCGUGUUAACAAUCUAGUGCAACCCAAGAUGUCCAACCUAAGGGUCUGAACUUGGAGAAAUACUCGGUCUCUAACCUCCAGUGUAAACUCCCAUCACCUCUGAUCAAUAUACAACUUCUUUCUCCCUUGUGCCGUUUUCAGGUUAUCGUUAAUCUUUUGGAUCACUUCUACCUUUAUCUCAAUGGGUUUUCGGUUCCGAAAGCUCGUCGCUCUCCAUUUUGUUUUUGUCCAAAAUUAGUGGACUCGCACAUGGCUUGAAUUCGCGGAACACUUUGGCUCCAUCACUGCCUCCGUGAAACUUUGUUGUCCUCUGGUCUUCUGGCACUUAUGCAAUUUGAUCUAUCUAGUCGUCCUUCGAGUGAUGGUUAUACAACACUGGUGUUUGAGUUAUGUUCCCGCUGCUCCUUGAAUCUCUUUUCCGUCGACGAAAUGUAAACUGGGUAUUUUUCGUAUGAGGUAACCCUUCUCAGGGUCUCGUAUAAUCAUAUCAUCUCCUCAAAGACCUAGCGUCAGUUAUUCUUGUCGGUGUCACCCUGACUGCUCGAUCAAAAUGAGCUGAGUUUUGGAUUUGAUCAGUCCUUGACUAUCCAACUGGGUCCUUUCUACUAGAAGUUGAGAGAAAUGCAACCACAGAGUCUACAACGGUCGAAUUUCAUUUCCCUUUUGAAAUUUCUUCUUGUUGUAGCUCCUCGCGUGACGUUUGUAACCCUGUUGUAUUUGCUGACAGUUAAGCAGAUUAUUAGAAACGUAACUUUUGUCUUGGUUUUUUCACCAAGCUGGGUCUCGGCAGGCCUUUUGUUAUA